CCACUGCACGUCACAGGCCACGAUAUUCCAAUAGCACCGCCCAGACACACGGAUCAUCGCGGUCGCGGGCGUCUGUGCAGGUUCAAUGCGAGCACAAGGGCGACAGUGACCCCAGAGGUCUCCUUCCCCACCCUCGGAGGACGGGAUGCGGGUGGCACAGCUUUUGCCCCGAAGGCCGAGCUGCAACGCGGAUUUCCCGCCUGUCAUAGUGCUGCCAUUCAAACAGCAGGAGCAGAGCAUGUUUAGCUGCUGGAUUAUCUGCGCGCGUCCCCUCGUUGUUCCAUUUAUUCCAUGGACGAGAGGAAACUGGAGUUUUCUGUGUAGCUACGAGCGUCUGGGCCGCUGCGGAGGAGAGGCCCCUGCUGCCGGCCGACAGCCUCGAAGGCUCAAUAGAGACCCUGGAAGGCCAGUUUUCUUCUGCUUCUUCUUCUUCUUCUUCUUCUUUUUUUUUUUUUUUUUUUUUUUUUUGCAGCCCUUACCACAGAGCCUAUUGAUCGAUUUUCAGCAACUUUGCAGGGAGGACCAGCCGGACGGAGUUCGUUAUCUUGCAGCCUCCCUGUCCUGUGGGGACCAGCGGGCCCGCGGCCCCCCGACACGCCUGUCCCCCCUCCCGCCCCGCUCUUCAGCAGCGUCUGCUGGAUGAGACUCCAGUUCAAAACCAUCAUCGCCUGCAAAAUACCAUCUCAUCAAUCGUCUGUGCAUUUACAUGUAUGAUGAAGCACACCAGCAACUGUUUUCCAGCAAAAACCUUUAUUUAUUCAUUUUUUAAAGAUUUUAUUUAUUUAUUCCUGAGAGACACGUACACCGAGGCAGAGACACAGGCAGAGGGAGAAGCAGGCUCCAUGCAGGGAGCCCGAUGCGGGACUCGAUCCCGGGAUCCCCGGGUCACUGCCUGGGCCCAAGGCAGUUGCUCCUCCACAGCUGAGCCACCCGGGCCUCCCAUUUUCUGUCUUUAUCUUAUUUUUUUAAUGUAAGUUCUUUACACACUAGGGAAAUCAGCCGUUUGUGUGUGAUGUUAGCAUCAUUUGUUUUCAGCUUGACGUUUGUCUUUUUGAUUCAUUUGCGGUGCUUUCCGCAGACGGGAUUUCUAACUUCCGUGCAGUUGAGCCCAUCAGCCUCUUAGGGCAUCCUCGUUCUGGGAUCACAAGAAUGAUUUUAUCCUGUGUUUUCUGAUAGAGCUUUCCCGAUAUUUUUAAUAUGGACGUUUUUGAUCCAUCCGGAAUUUAUUUUGAUAUAAAGCCUGAGACGUGGAACUCACACUUACCAGUUUUCUUUCCCCAGGCUACGCAGGACACCCCCACUUACCGAAGGGCACCCCGCCAUCCCGAGCAUAUGCGUCACCUGCCUGAGCAGCCACACUGGGGCCUUUGCCAAAGACUGUGACCUCGAACUUUCGGGUGCUCAACUUCGGUCUUGAGCAUUGCGACGAAAAAUGAUUUAAAAGGAGGACUGUGUAAAGGAUUUUNUGGUCCCACGCGGGGGGGGGGGGGUUCAGGGGGUGAGCGGCUGCCUUGGGCUCAGGGCGUGACCCCGGGGUCCUGGGAUCAAGUCCCGCCAGCGUCGGGCUCCCCGCAGGAGCCUGCUUCUCCCCCUCCGUCCAACACUCUCCCCUGCUCCUGCUCUCACUUGCUCUCUCUUUCAAAUGAAUAAAUAAAGUUUUAAAAAAG
ensembl:lncRNA